rnacentral:rRNA from 1 species
CCCUUAGACGUUCUGGGCCGCACGCGCGCUACACUGACACAGGCAACGAGCUUUCCUUUACCGAAAGGUAUGGGUAAUCUUUUGAAACUGUGUCGUGCUGGGGAUAGAUCCUUGCAAUUUUUGAUCUUAAACGAGGAAUUCCUAGUAAGCGCGAGUCAUCAACUCGCGUUGAUUACGUCCCUGCCCUUUGUACACACCGCCCGUCGCUACUACCGAUUGAAUGGCUUAGUGAGGCCGCAGGAUCCGCGCUUAAUGUGUGGAGAAUUUGGACAAACUACGUCAUUUAGAGGAAGUAAAAGUCGUAACA